UUGAUGAGUGAUUAUACCAAUCCAGCCAUCUUUUCGUUGCAUUUACUGUCAGAAUAUGCAUACAUCUCCGCGGUUAUUUCACAGAUAAAGCAAUUCAUCAUGAUCUGUACAGUUCGUGGCACAUACAGCAUGAUCUGCACAGGCAUUUGGUUGAGUUGGUGACAGUCUGGCAGAUACACAUGAUCUGCACAGGCAUUUGGUUGACCCUGCAAUCUAGCCAUUUCUUACUGUUGUUGCCGUGCUGUUGUUUGUGCUGAAAGGAUCGUGAAGCGCCCGUGCCUGUGGUGCUGGUCACAUGGGCUGCAAUUUAUCGAGGUCCGUACAUCUAUGAUGCUCGGAUUAAUGGCCGCCAUUUUUCUAUGCGCAACCAGAUGAGCAUACCUAGGGUCCAGAGAUCGCAUCGAUUCUGUGCUGCUGAUCGAGAUUUCAAUCGGCACUAAUUUUUAAAGGCUCUGUCUGGCUUUGUGUAUCCUAUGUAGGCGAGUGGUGUCUGAGGUCAUUGUGUCCAUGGAAUAAUCUUGAAUCGGAAUUUCGUUUGGAUGGAGCAGUGUGCAAUGCACGCGCAUUUGUGCCAGAGGAAGAUGGAAAUAGAAAAGUUUCUUUUUAAAUUUUAAUGCACCAUCUGGGACCCAGGAAUUUUCUGGGAAAGUUUCCCUUUUUUUUUUCCCAAGACACUGGUUUAUGUGAAACUCUGCAUUUCGAACUUGAGUUUGUUCGAUUUGGAUACGGUGCUCUCUGAAAUUUCAGGCUAUGGUUUGGAUGCUACAGAUGAUAAAUGUUUUUGGACAAUGGUAUCUACAAAUGCUAAAGCUAAACCAGGUUCAUCUUAUGUGGCGGACUCCAGGCUCAUCUUAUUCUGAGCAGCGGUAACAUGGUUUUUCUAUAUCAAAAUGUGUUUGCAUCUGAAAGAGCGGCGGCGAUGUUCAUGGCAGGUGCCGGAUGGCGGAUUCCUUGGCCCUGGAUCAGAUCCGGCCUGGGGCGGGGGGCAGGACCUGCAGCGGCGGCCUUCCUGGAAGAGGCGGCACCAGGCCCUGCGAGGCGACGGCGGUGGGAUGGCGGCGGCCUUGGCCCUGGCCCUGACGAGGCCUCCCUGCCAACAGAUUGCAGCGACUGGAUCGAGCUCGCCGCAGGUGAAAACAAGUGAAAUAAAAAACAAGUGAAAUAAAGAGCGGCGAUGUCGACCCUUCAUGACGAACUUGGUAGUCCCUCCAGCUUCACUGUAGGCGCCUUGGGAUGGUUGGCAAGCUGGGUCUCCAAGUUGCUCUUGAUCGCCUCAUCAUUGGUACCCUGGAGCAAGACUUCUUUGAGCUCGGACAGAAAGUUCAGGCCCUUGAGAUGGUACGACGCGCUGGAGCAGUCGAUCUUCAGCAGCUCGACGCUCUUCAUCGACCUCGAUCCGAAGGUCACGUGUAGCUCGCUGGCGCCGGAGGCCAUCUCGAGGAUCUUCACCUUCUUGAAGGUGACCAGCUCCUCCCCAUACAUCUUGGCGUGAAAAUGGAGCUUGCCAUCCUGAAGCUGUCCGACUCGGAGACGCAGGAUGCAUAGCUCCGGUAGAUUGUUGCCCAGGAACUCGACGUCAUCUUCCUUUAAGGCGUCCAUCUCCAGGUCCAGCUUCAUGAGCUUGCUGAGGUUCUCUGAUGGUGGCAGCUUGUCUUGAAGCCCGUGGAGUGUGAGGCUCCGCAGGUUCUCCCAAGGCAGGGUGAUUUCGUCCAGGCAGCCUUGGCUGUCCUUGCCCAGCCGCACCAGCAAGGAUUCCAGAUGCACAAGGCCUGAGGUUGCAGAGAAGAAGUCCUUGCUGUUAUGCCUGGUGAUGCCAGACACUCCGAGCUUGCGCAGCUGGGUGAGUUUCCUGAGCUCUUCCACGACGGCCUUCCCUCCUGAAGCACCGACGUCGACGACGCCGAGUGUGUGCAGCGCCGUCAGUUUUCCGAUCCCUUUGGGCACCUUGAUACCAAACAGGCCGCGGCGUCUGUGGAACUUUGGCAACCUGCUGGAUGAGGCAGGCGGUGCUGAUGCUCGGACGGUGGUGCCGGCGCGGAUAUACUGCAGCUUCUGUGACCUUGUGAUGCUCGCUGGCAGUUUGCGUAUGGAGGUGUGCCUCACAUCCAGAGUCUGGAGCUGCCUGAGAUCGCCGAGUGAGCUUGGCAGAUGGAAGAUCUCACCGCAUCCUCGUACAGAGAGAAACUUCAGGCGACGCAGACGCUUCACCAUCUUGUCAAGAUCUUCAUCCUUUACACCCAGUGCGUCCUCCAGAUCAAGCACCCGAAGUAGCCUCAUACUCUUAGAGAUGAAGAAUGAUUCCCACUUUCCAAACACUGUCAGCGACCGUAGCCGUGAGAAGUCGAUGCUCUCAAACACAAUCUUGUCUCUGUCCCAGUCUCUCAAUAUGAUGAGGUGUCUCCCUGUGCGGUGGGUGGUUAGGACGCAAUUGGGCCCGAGUUCAAACACAAGGUUCUCUUCCAUUCUGCGCGAGACAAUGUACUCACGGAUGAAGCCAUUGACCUGGCACGAGACCAUACUUGUGUCAUUGUAUGCAGUGGUGACCAACUGUGGUAUCUGCUGAAUUAUGCUCAGCUCGAGGAGCUUGGAGAAGAAGCUCUCCCCUUUGUCAACAGCAGAUUCUUCAUCACUGUCUCUAGAGUAACCUUCUGCAAUCCACCUCCUUACUAGUCGCCUUUGCCGAAUGCCGUGGUGCCGAGGAAAAAUUGACAGGUAGAAGAUGCAUGGCUUGAGUGAAUCUGGGCAAGUACGGAAGUACGAGUGCAUCCAAUCAAACAGGCCCUUGAGACACUCAUAAUCUGGAUUGGUCUCUAGAUGCUGCAUAAAUUUUUGAUUCAGUGAGCGCACAGUAUCCAUCAAUGUUACCGUCUGUGUGGCCAAUAAGGCAGCUAUAGAAACUAUCACUUUGGGAAGACCUCCACACUUCAGAAUAAGCUCUUCUAGCUCCACAUCUUCGUGAUCCUUUAAAGGGGAUGAAGGAUUUUUCCUGUGUACCUAUUGUUCAAACAAUUUUAACAUUAGUCAACAUCAGUUAAUUAGGAUAUACAGAAUGUGCAGAGCCUCCAGGAUGUCGUUCUGGAUAUACAAAAUGCACUCAUUUGUAAUAUUUUUAUUUUUCUGCAAGUGACAUGAGGACGCAUUAUAUCAAAAUUGAACGUCAACUACGGUUUUGAAUUAUUUUUUCCCACGUAUAUAUUUAAAAUGUUUAGAGCCUCCAGGCUGUCAUUCUGGAUAUGCAAAUGCACUCAUUUAAUAACUGUUAGUUGUGUGCAUCCAAUGUACAUAGGCAUAUAUACUCCCUCCGUUCUCAAAUAUAUGAUGUUUUGGUAGUUCAAAUUGAACUACCAAAAUGUCAUGUAUUUAGGAACAGAGGGAGUAGUUUUGAUUCUGUGAGUGAAGGAGGACAAAGCAAACCCAUGCAUGAAGUGGUAUGUUUGUGACAGCAUACGUCCAAGGAGCUAGCUAAAUAUUGUAGCUCUCUCAAAAAAACAAAGAAAAUCUACAUAAUAUAGCUUGUAAGAAAACACACCUCUGUCCUGAAGAGAUCCAUGGCCGCUACAGCUUCUAGACCUUUGACAUUAAAGACUUGCCCUUCGUUAUUUGUGCAAUAUGUGGCAACACCGGCUUCGGUUGUAAUAACAAUGAUAACACUUGAAGAAGGUCUAGAUACCAAUGCAGACUGUAUUAAGUCCCAUUCUUCUUUGGACUGGAGAUCAUCAAUAAUGACCAGACACUGAUUUUCGCUCAGUAGCUCACGGCACUCUUUAAUGGGGUCUUUUUCUGAAUGAUGAUCCAAAAGUAAGCUCCGAGAAAAAUCCCUUAAAUUGAAUGGAUGUGAUACAUCCACCCAACUGUACUUGUUAAAUUGGUUGCUGUGAAGCAUUCUGUCAUAGUACAAGUUUCGAACAAGAGCUGAUUUCCCAAUGCCAGCUAUCCCCCAAACAGAUAUAACUGGAGAAUUGCUGAAGCGGGCCCUGGCUGUAUAGCUGCGAAGCUCAGUCAUUUCUAACUCACGUCCAACAAGGGGAUAAUUUUUCAUAUAGUCCUCGAUCCCUUUAAUAUUGGAGGAGGGAAUCUUUUCCAAGGACGAAUUCGGGCUCACUUCACACACCAUUGGUUUCUCUUCUUUGGGUCCAUAGUCUUGAGAACCCUGGAUGCGGGGAGAGAUGUUAACACACAGGACUGAGGCAAAAGGUACAUACAGAACUUUAAAUGUAUUUCCUUGGCUAGCUAUGUAUUUCUCGAAAAAUAAGCUACAUCCAUGGUGAAGGUGGCCAUACUUUUCGACACAUGGGACCUGGGGGUUAGAAAAGGAGUCUUGCUAGAAUUAAACGGUGUCUAACUCGGUUAAACAUGUGAAUUAAGGUUUUGUUAAAUCAUGCAUUUGAACAUAAUUGUUUGUGAAACUGCAGUUCUUAGUGGACAUUGAUGUAUAUUUUUAAUAAGAAUAUCUUUAUUACAUCCAGUGGCAGGUCCAGGUUUCGUGUUCACAGUAUAAGUUCCCUUCAAAAUUUAAAAUUUUCACACCAUGUGAAACAUGACAAUUCUUCAGAAAUUAUAUCAACCAAUUGGGAUGUUGUCUGGCUCAUCAUUGGAACUACCAACUGCACCAACUAAUAAACACUUCUUGGUUCAAAUCUUGAGUACUACUAAUAGAGUUGAUGGUAUGAGGAUAAAUCACUGUUUGCUUGCAUGUGGUGUGGUUAAUAUUACAACAAAGUAAUACAGUUGUAGGUCAGUAGGUGUUCCAUCCAAUACUUGCCAAAAAGUCAUCCAUUGUGAACCGUCAUAUGAAAAGAACUCAUUGUUGAUGCGUUAACACUACUCUGGUGAUCAAGGAUUAAGCGAUUCAUUAAGCAGUGGAGCUUCUAAAGUUUAAUUAGCUAAUGUUAUACUACUAAGUACUAACUAGAUCUGCCAGAUGACAAUAUUUCGACAUUUAUUUGCAUAUUUCGAAAAGACAUGUAUAAAAAUGAUCGAAUGGUAUUGUGAUCAUGUCCAGAUUAAACUGCCAAGUAAAAUGAAAAAAAAUAGAAGUUAGAAAAUAUUUUGCAAACAUAACUUAUGUUGUUUCAUGCCUGAUUAAUUACCUCCUUGAAGAAUGCACAAACCGAGUGCUCAGGUGAGUACUGCUUGAGCUCCAGUGGUUGGUAAGCAUGCCCAAUGCACAAGCUUGCAACCUCGAACUGCUGCGUCGACACGAUGAUCCAGCUGCCAUUCUUCAUGUCGGGCAGGAACGUCCUCACAGCAUCCCAAUCUACCAUGUCAGUUAGGUUCUCCAGCACAACGAGGUAAGUCUUGGUGUUGACUUCCUGCACAAACUCACGUCUGAGCACACCCACAUCUUCCUGCAUGGCCUCCAUUUUUGUGAGGACAUGUACUCCCACAUCUGCUCCUUCCUUGUCGACGCAAGCAUCUGCGGCGUAGACCUGUGCCAUGAAUCGCCGCAUGAACUCAUGGGGAUUGAAAGGAUGCAUGAGCUUUACCCAGACGCGGCAGGCGAAGCUCCGGCAGAUCUCCGGAUCAUUGUACGCCUUCCUGAUGAUCGAGGUUGUCCCAAGAUCACCGCAUGUUCCCCACACCGAGAUCACCUGAAGGUCUCUGUCCUUGUUGGUGAUCAACUGGGCGAGAUCACCCAGGAAUUGCUGCCUUUUCGCCGAAUCCCGAGCCUCGACGAGCAUGUCGGCCGCCACCGUGCCGGCGCCCCGGCCGGAAGCCUGCUGCUGCUGCAGCAUGACGAGGUUGGAGACAGGCUCGCCGAUGCAGCUGUAGCGCGAGUAGCAGGCGCUCAGCUCCUCGGCCCUGCCCUUGAUGACCUCUAUCUCCGCCACCGCCUGGUCCAGCGGCAGCGGGCCGACCACGCACGCCGGGAGCAGGCGGCGCCAGAAGACCGGCUUGCCGUCCAGGUGGCGACGAACUCGACGCAGUCCUCCAGGUCGUAGGCCAGCUCGCGGACGUGCCUCACCCAGGUCCUCACCAGGUUGUUCAUGGCGGCGGCCCUCCCGCCGUUGGCGACGUUCAGGAAGGACUGCAUCAUCUCGAACUCGAGGGUGAUGGUCACCAGGUCCCGCUGCGCCCUGUGCCGCAGCUUGUUGUCCUCGUCGAUGGCCGACUGCACCUUGGUCAGCGCCUCCGCCACCACCGUCUUGGACAGCCCCACCGCCAGGUCCGCCAUGGCUGGCUGGCGCCUCCCCGGCUGGUUCUCUCGAUCUGUGGGACGAGCGGGCCAUGGCUUAAAAUCGGCAUUUUUGCAAAUCAAAUCAACCAGGCGCCGUUUACGGGACUGUUCUGUGUGCGUACCUGGCUUAGAGCUCCCGAGCAAUGGCGAUGCGCGCGCCGUCCGAAUCCCUCUGUUGCGCAGAGAGGGAAAUGAUGGAUUCGAGACUGGUGGUCUCCCUCUCUCGCCUGGCCCCAGAUCUGGCGGCGGCCGGCCGUCUCUACGGCGGGCGGCGAAGGAGAGAUGCUCCCCGCCGGCGGUAGCUGCGAUGGAUUUGCGGCGGACGAGAUGGCCGAGGAGGGGGGAGACCGGGAGAGAGACCAGUGACUCAGUCAGUCAGUCGCCGCUCUUUCGUGGCAGCUACAUAUGGACACGGAGAAGGAAGGGGAAGAAGACAAGAGAGGAAGACCGAAGGGUGGACUCCAUCAUUGACCAGCCAUUGACCGGCCAUAUGAUGAACUCUUUUAUUUUCUUAUCAUUUCUUAUCACCGUGCAGUGGAAAAGUGCUUUACGUAAUUUGCCAAUGUUUCUUGAUGUAGAAGGUGGUUCGUAUAUUACUAAUUGGCAAAGAAAAAAACAUAGCGUGCAUAAGAAUUUUGUCCAACCAUGAAGAAGAGCCUUGCCAUAGCAAUAAAACUGUUGCCUCGGGUUGGAGCCCUGAAAACAGCCUCCUGUAGAAAUGCAUUAAAAAACCAUGUACAAUAGACCCAAAAUGAUCUGACCCUUUUCCGGACUGUACGCAAGCGGGAGCUACAUGCAUCGGGUUACCCAUUUAAAUUUGAAUCAAAUGUUGAAUGUGAACCUAAAUUUAGUAACUUUUGUACUCCCUCCCUAGCUAUUAUAAUAUGUUUCGGAUAUUUCUGUAUGGACUAUAUAAAGGUGGACAAACACAUUAAAAUGUGUCUAUAUACAUGCAUUUGAAUAAAAAAAAUUGGAAUAUCAUAUACAGUAAUUUGGAACGGAGGGAAUAUGUGUAUUCUUUGGUUUUUAAGAUCAAAAUCUGUUAAGCGCAAUUACAUUCACUUUUCUUUCACAGUAUCUGCUAAACUUAUUAUGUGCAUUAUUUCACAUGUUUUCUCGUUUGCACAAAAGUACAAAGGAAUUUCUGAGUGUGUGUGGCGUGAUGACCCGCGAAAGAGAGACUAGUGACUCGGUGACAGUGAGUCAGUCGCUGCUCUCCCGUGGCAGCUACAUACACGGAGAAGGAAGGCGAAGAAGACAAAAGAGGAAGACCAAGGGUGGACUAACUUCAUCAUUGACGAGCCAUAUGAUUAACUCUUUUAAGACUCUUUUAGUUCAUAAGGUAAGAAAAUUAUAAAAAUAGAAAAGUCAUAUAAAAUGAGAUGAUAUGUAUCUCAAAUUUUAUGAAUAAAAAUAAAAAAGAAGGUACCCGUUCACGUCAUAUGACUUUUUCCAUUGAAUCUAGACUAGUAUUUAUUUUCCUAUAAAAUAAGGAGGAUAGAAAAAAUUCCUCCAUAAGAAUAAGACUCUAUUCCUACAAACUAAAGGUCUAAACAACAACAACAAUAAAGCCUUUAGUCCCAACAAGUUGGGAUAGACUAGAGGUAAAACUCAUAAGAUUUCGCGACCAACUCAUGGCUCUGGCACAUGGAUAGCAAGCUUUCAUGCACCCCUGUCCAUAGCUAUCUCUUCGGUGAUACUCUAAUCUUUCAGGUCUCUCUUAACAGACUCCUCCCAUGUCAAAUUCGGUCUACCCCGCCCUCUCUUGACAUUCUCCGCACGCUUUAGCCGUUCUCUAUGCACUGGAGCUUCUGGAGGACUGCGUUGAAUAUGCCCAAACCACCUCAGACGAUGUUGGAUAAGUUUCUCUUCAAUUGGUGCUACCCCAACUCUAUCUUGUAUAUCAUCAUUCUGGACUCGAUCCUUCCUCGUGUGGCCACACACCCAUCUCAACAUAUGCAUCUCCGCCACAUCUAACUGUUGAACAUGUCGCCUUUUAGUCGGCCAACACUCAGCGCCAUACAACAUUGCGGGUCGAACCGCCGUCCUGUAGAACUUGCCCUUUAGCUUUUGUGCCACUCUCUUGUCACUGAGAAUGCCAGAAGCUUGGUGCCACUUCAUCCAUCCGGCUUUGAUUCGAUGGUUCACAUCUUCAUCAAUACCCCCAUCCUCCUGCAGCAUUGACCCAAAAAAUUGAAAGGGCUCCAAAGGAUUUUUUCCUGCAUAAAUCUUAUCCCAUGAAAAUCCUACAAAAUUCCUCCAAACCAAAGAAGACCUUAUUUUCUGAAUCAUAUCAUUCUUAGCAUCAUGUAGUGGAACAAUACUUGAUGUGCUUUUCAAGAUUUCGUUAACAUAGCUAAGUUUUUGUUUGGGGAGCACUUUUGUGAAGGACAAUGUUAUUUCUAGAAAAAAUGGAAUUUUUCUGAUGGACAGAUGUCGUCUAGAAGUCGCGGGUUCUGCACUUCUGCUCGACUACAAUUGCGGGGUGGGUUACACACUAGUUUUGCAAGUUCAUCAUNNNNNNNNNNNNNNNNNNNNNNNNNNNNNNNNNNNNNNNNNNNNNNNNNNNNNNNNNNNNNNNNNNNNNNNNNNNNNNNNNNNNNNNNNNNNNNNNNNNNNNNNNNNNNNNNNNNNNNNNNNNNNNNNNNNNNNNNNNNNNNNNNNNNNNNNNNNNNNNNNNNNNNNNNNNNNNNNNNNNNNNNNNNNNNNNNNNNNNNNNNNNNNNNNNNNNNNNNNNNNNNNNNNNNNNNNNNNNNNNNNNNNNNNNNNNNNNNNNNNNNNNNNNNNNNNNNNNNNNNNNNNNNNNNNNNNNNNNNNNNNNNNNNNNNNNNNNNNNNNNNNNNNNNNNNNNNNNNNNNNNNNNNNNNNNNNNNNNNNNNNNNNNNNNNNNNNNNNNNNNNNNNNNNNNNNNNNNNNNNNNNNNNNNNNNNNNNNNNNNNNNNNNNNUAAAGAGCACUUAAACAUGAAUUGUCUUCUUAGCCGCAUCAACAAUCUCCAUGAAGCUCCGCCAUUGGUGAGAAUAACUUAAACAUGACGACGGUGACGUCCUCUCUGUCUAGAUUGAUGGUAGUGGAUACCAUGUAAAGACAAUGUAAUUCCGCUUUGAGGGCGGACGAGCUAGUGUCUCGUGUCUCUACUUCCUCCGGUCCCGAUGCGACAUUUAGUUGUGGCGAUUGUGUUGCUUUCCGUAACAACAUUACUAUUCAUGAAUGUUCGUUUCUAGACCAUUUUUGCUGCCAAUAAAAUAUCAUCUUUUGUAAAAUGUAAUGUGAGCACACAAAAGCCAUGACUCUUCUCCAACUUUUUUAUUUCCCCCCUAGGAUCUUAUUUUAUUAUUUACCUUUGUUUUUGUUUUUCUGUGAAUGCGUGUGGUUAUAGUGGUAGUUUUCGUGUGGUUUUGGUUUUGGCAGGGGAGAGUGUCAUACUUGAUGCGGUCACCGGGGAUGGUCAAUUUGGUGCAAAGUAUUAUAAGUGCAUCUAUGAACACUACACUACCAUCAAAAUGUGAAGACACCAUGCAUCCGGUCGAUGACUUAAGUCACUCACAAACUGUCGGAGUGUGAUCCUUGAGUGUUGCAAUCGGUGGGUGGAUUGUUCGGAGCAAGUGAACACACUUCCUAGUGGUAACACAAUUGAUGAAUAUGUGACUGAUUUUGUCAUCUUUUUCACUGCAUGUUUAGAAUACAUUUCAAUUAUCUUUGCUCACGAAACCACCUUCUAGUUGUAUGUUGUAGGACAAGUUCAUUCAAGAGAGAUACAAGCAAAAAUAUUAGUCAAAAAGUAAGCCAUUUGCCUUGCACCAUUGUUGGGCAUUUCUCCAAAACUAUGAGAAGUAGAGGAAGAGGAAUGAUGAGGCUCCACCAAAGAGACCGAGGUCAUGUACCUAAUCCUCUCUACAGCUUGAAGAUGGGAUGAAGAUUUUGAUGAACAUAAAAGGAAACAAGGGGUCCUACUUCGGAGUCUAUCAAUGGGUGGCCCGAUGGGAUGAAGAUGGUGAAGAAGAAGCUCAAGAGAGAUGGAGAGAUCGCGACAAUGAAAGACAAGAUUGAUGAGUUGAUCCAAUGCAAAGGAGGUGUCAACUCAAGCUAUGUGCAUGCAAAGUUAGAGUUGACGGAGAAAAAGCAAAAGGAGAAGAUGGCGACAUGGCAAGAGAUGAAAGAGAAUGAGAAGCACAAGGACCGACACGGGUCAGCGUAUGUUUCUUCUCGAUGAGAACCAGUUGAGGCAAGAGAUGGCACCGAGGAGAAUCAACUGAUUAAAGAUGGACCCAGAUGAGAUAUAUGAGAUGAUGUGGACAAGAUGGACCCAGAUGAGACAUAUGAGAUGAUGUGGACGGAGAUCUUGGCAUCUACUCCCUCAGUUUCAAAAUAGAUGACCUAACUUUGUAUUAAAGUUAGUAUAAAGUUGAGUCAUCUAUUUUGGAACGGAGGGAGUAGGAUGUAAUGGAGCGUCGCACACUUGGGAGGGAGGAGUGGUAGGUACUAGCGACAUGUAAUGAUUUUUGUGUUGAAGAUAUGAGCAUGAUGUUGCUUUUGGUUAAACUUCACUUCUGGAUAAUGGUUAUCUUGUUUUAUUCGUGUAUUUUCACCCUCGUGGAUCCAAAACAUAUGAGCAAGAUGAAGUGCAAUCUAUGUGGAAAGCCUACUGGUAAUUUACUUAGGUCUGAUAUUUCAUAAUGGCUCUUGCCAGCGACCAGAAGAACCCAAACACAAUAAAAUUGAAGACAAGCCUCGGCGAUCCUAUUUAUACAGUAUGCAAACAGCUGAGUAUUAGCUUGGGAGCUGUGAUCUACAGGUCCCUGUUAAUGGAGGAUGGCCAUGACAGCCUCCUCUGGUUGAUAUUGUCGAGUCCAUCACUUUCAGGGUUUACGUCGUCCACUUGCUUCCAGGUAUUGAGCAUCGAGCCCUCUCUCCUCUGAGGUGGCGUCAAGAACUUCAAAUCAUCACUGGAGCCACCUGGGGUCAUUGACAGAGAAGAAUGACCAACGCGUAGUGUUUGAAGAGUAGAAAAGGAUUCCCUCAUCGCAGACAUGGCCUCGAAGAACCGGGUGCAGGAUGCAAGCGCAGCAGGUAUCGGUCGUAGCAUUUCCUUCACAGAGAUAAAAGAUAGCCAUUAAUAUUUCCUUAUCUGACUUGGUAUAAUCGUAGACAAGAAAGAGCUGCCAUAAGAAAAUGUGAUCAGAAUGCACAAAAUCAUUCUAUACUGACAUGAUAAAUCAUUUGUCAUCUCUAGAUUUGACAGUGGUAGAAAUAAUAUUUGCAUCUGCAGUGGAAGAUGUUCUGCGCGGGAUAAAUUCACUAUGACUCCUAAUUAAUUUAAUUACCAGAAGGAGUAUUUUCAACUUACACCCCAUACAGCAGGCGACUCUCUGAAGUUUUGACUCCACUGGAAAUCUCCAACUGAUGCUGUCAAUGCCCCAUAAUCACUUGCCGCUUUCAGAAGUAGCUCCGAGAAUUGUUUCUGAGGAGAAGCAAGUACAGUAAGUAGGAAAAAAAUGCGCUUCGCUCAAGAAACCACACAUUCCUAUAUGAAAGAAAUCACCUAAGUAGGUGCACCUAAGAUUCUCCUCCACAUCAAUACAUAGAAUGCCAAGAAUCAUAAAACUGGAUGUAGGUUGCUACUUGAUACACCAUUUUCAGUUCGCAUGUGUAAGUUCAUGAAUCUAUAAAAAUCUGAAAACAAAAUGAUCAAGAACCCAACCUGGUAUUCAGCUUCAACAGGAAUGCAGUCAAGCGAGUAAGGUUGCUGCAGACGGGCAAUAAUGCGGUCCUGAUAGAAAAGAGUUGUUAUUUUGAUAUCCAGAUCUUGUAAUUAGUUGAUUAUGGUAUAUGGAGCAGCCAACAGCACAGGCAGAACUUUCUUUACACAAUAACCUGAGCAACAGGUGGUCCCAAGAAAGAAAGAAAGCAAGCAAAAGAAAUAGUGAUUUCUGACUUCCAGUACCUUGUUUUGAAUAACAUCUUUCAAAAUAGUAGUAAUUCUGGCCAACGAUUCACACUUCUUCUCCAUUUCACUAACAUGAGUCAAAUGAGCAAUGUUUUUAUCAUCCUGCAAUAAAAAAAAGUUCAUCAAUAUGAUCAACGAUGAUAACUGACACAAAUCAAAAGCCCAGAAAACUGAAUACACCAGAAUUUGGAGAUGAUAUGUAGCAAAGUUUACAAGUGAAAUAUAAAUUGAACGCUUGUUAUUCUGCUUGUGAUCACAUUUAAUAGGGCGUAAACAAUUUUAAGUUCUAUACAUCACCAGUUAAAAGCUUUAACCUUGCACAUUUAGAGAGGCUUGGACAUUGCAAUUCAUUUUUCAAGCAUGAAAACCUAGGUAAAGCAAGUGUGAGCACCUAUCAGAUUCAUACACAAAUAUAAGAUUAUUCUUUUCACUUAAGAAGAAAAAAUUAUCCAUGUUAUUAAUAUGCUUUGAUAGCAAAAACAUAUUCACCAUAAUAGUCAAAGUGGACAUAUUGAUAGAAGCAAAUGUAUCUCCAAAAUGCUCUAAUUAUCCAUGAUGUUCUCAUUUCUACCAAGAAUAUGAAUAACCUCAUGGGAAUUUCAUAGUUUCGCCACCACAGUAAGUCAGUAACAGAAUGAAAAGGAUAUUCACUACAGCAGAACAAAUUGAUGAAAUACGAAAACGUUGAUCUAUAGUCAAAGUAAUAUCGCGUAGUAAGGGAUCGGAAAAGGUAAUCAACAAACAAAAACUGCAUAAGUAUUGGCAUGGCACAGAAUUGGUGUAAACAUACAAACAGUAGCAACUGGUCGUCAGUCCAUUACCUUUCUGCCUUGUAGCUCGACUUGCAAAUUGGCAAUGUUCCGCUGCACGACCGUCAGCUCCCUUAAUACCCUCACCAGGUCAUCACUUUUGUCCGAGGUGUUCUGAUCUUCCUGCAAUGGCAAGUGACAACAAAGAAGUGUGAAGACUUAAGAAGCACACAUGACCAUAAUCUGCGAAAUAAAAAGAACAAUCAUUUCAUCACCAUCACUAUUAGUGACAUAGAGCACUGUAAAUUUCACGAAGCUAGACAUCAUAACAAAAACAGAGGGAGACAUAGCAAUCUUACAGAGUAAUAAUUUUAGAUGGGUUACAGCUUAUAACUAGCUCCAAGAUUGCUAGAUUUCAUCAAUAGAUAAAGAACCCUCCAGGUUAUAGUCACCAAACUUAGGAGGAGAUGAUUCCCCAUAGGUGUUCCUCUCAGGACUAGCAAAGCGCACGGGACUCCCCUGAACCUACACGCUCAGCCGUCCAAACCAUGCAGAAAUCGCAGUGAUAGGCUUCUAAUUCGGGAGCGGGACUCGGUUCGAAACCUACAUUUCACAAAUCCCCGGCGGCAAUAAACGAGGAACGGAACCCUACCAUUACCUGAAAGGAACAAGAAUUCGAUCUCGCGAAAUGGCGGCGGAAGGGACGAAAUUGACAGGAGAAGGAUCUGGGGUGACAGAAGUAAAUCUACAGGGCGCAGCCAAGGGGUGGUGGGGGUAACCUGCGCGGGAGGGGCCGGGAAGCCGAGGUCCCCGGCGAUGGCGAGCGCCUCCGCCAUGCCGCCGAGCCGCUUGGCCGGCUUCUGCGCCGCCGCCAUGGCCUCGGCCGGUUGGUGGGGGGUUGGCGGGCGUUUCGAUGAUUUCGCCUCGGCCGGCCGGUUGAGCUUUUUUUUGCCUCCAAACGCCCGAUUACUGCUCGGUGCCGAGCCUCCCUGUCUCCACUCCACUUCCACCCACUACUGAUUGACACUGGACAAUUUACAAUCAGUGAAAAUGAUCAAGAGAAGCAGUUCAAUGUCCAUCGAUUUACAAUCAGUCUAGCAAUCAUUUGCGAUCAUAAGCAGGAAAUGAAUCACAUGGCAGGUAGUUCAGGUUCAUCUUAGAAGCAAGCAGAGGAUGAGUACCUUGUCGGAGGGCGCUGGGCGCCUGCAGGGGGGGCCGGAGGAGAAGCCGAGAGGGCCGGAUGCGCGGAGGGGAGUGCCGGAGGCCGAGAGGGCCGGCCGAAGGAAAGGGACCGAGGGAGAGCCGGCCGCCGGAGCCGGACCUGGAAUCGCUUGCUGCCGCCGCCUUCAGCUAGGCUGGGGAAUGGGGAUUGAUCUGGAAUCGGGGGGUGAGGGAGAUGCUCUCUCGCUCCAGACAACCAGUCGGUCGNNNNNNNNNNNNNNNNNNNNNNNNNNNNNNNNNNNNNNNNNNNNNNNNNNNNNNNNNNNNNNNNNNNNNNNNNNNNNNNNNNNNNNNNNNNNNNNNNNNNNNNNNNNNNNNNNNNNNNNNNNNNNNNNNNNNNNNNNNNNNNNNNNNNNNNNNNNNNNNNNNNNNNNNNNNNNNNNNNNNNNNNNNNNNNNNNNNNNNNNNNNNNNNNNNNNNNNNNNNNNNNNNAAAUGUCUGGUUUGGUUUUUUGAGUCUGGUUUGGUGAGUGGCUACGUGCCUGCAGUUUGGGCUGGACUUGGUACGUGGGCCAAAAGAUCAACGCAUAACAUUAUGGGGCCCAGAUUUUUUGGUAUUUCAGGGAAUUCUCGGGAAUACCCCGAGAUCACUAAUUGAGGAGUACUCCUUCUAAAAGACCUCUAGACACAAAAAAAGAAGAUCUCUCUCACCUUGCUAAGUUGCGAUAAGUGGCGCGCUGCAUAUGCCACUUGUCGCAACCUGGGAGUUUUUCUUUUUUCGUAGAUUCGUUUACUCAAAACAUUUUAUCUCUUGAACCAUGCGUCCAAAUAUCGAACCGUUUUCAUCGUUGGGUCACUCGCAUCGAGAUAUUUAAAACUAAAUCCCAUGUUGAUAGAUUUCGAUAGAUAUCUUUUCACGAAAAAAGGACGAAAAACCCGAACUGGGAGGCAUGUUUUUCUUUCCUUUCCGAAGAGGCACGUGUUCUUUCCCUUUGCGAGAGGCACAACCGAACCUCUCGCGGAAGAAAAUCCGUGCCUCUAUGAGAAGUUAAUCUGUGCCUCGUGGAAGGUUAAAAAAAAUAAAGCACAUUUUUCACGCAUUUUUUCCUUUUCUUUUUUGGGUCUAAAUCUUAAGAAAAACCAGAGGUCGUCCCGCACGCCAUCAAACUUGGUGAAGAGGCUAUCGAGCUUUGCAAAAUUUUCACAAACAUCCUUCGUAGCCCCUUGAGUGUCUUGGUGCGUUGCUCCACCCGCUUGCGGUCGAUGUCUUCAUCCAACCCACCCUUGAGGAGGUCGUAGAUCCGGCGCCCUUCAGUUGAUAGCUCCUCCAUGCCCGUCGUGUGACACCUGGUCUUGUGCCGUGUGAAGUGGCUAUGCACCGGACGCGCGAGAACUGUACGCUCUGAAUACCAUAUUGUCGGCACUAGCUCAAGUAGCAACUAACCCUAGAGUUGGAGACAAGGAAGAUCGAGAGAAAAUGGCGAGUUGUUGUGUUUAUCCACCAAUCCACCCACACGUCUGUAUACAACUAGGCAGGCUCCAUAUUCUUCUAUAUUCCUGAUAUGUGUGCUGCUAAACAUAGUGCAGAGAAAACUAAUAAUGUGGUGAUUACUAUAGUGGAGGGUGAUGCUACUGUUAAAGACAUUGAGUAGGAAUUUAAUGCUAUAUUUGCCAAAAAACCUGGGAAAAAGAAAUGGCGCUGUACGGCCCGCUCUAUUGGCCCUGCUUAGUAUGUGAUGCGAUUCCCUAAUGCUAGUGAAGUAGAAAGGGCAUGUUGUUAUGGAAAACGCUUGCCUCUGAAGGAAGGGAACAUUGUUGUAUGUAUUACUCCUUGGACUGCUUCUAUUGGAGCCAAAGGCAUUAUGGAGAAAGCAUGGGUUAGGGUUCGCAACAUUCCCAUAGAGAAAAGAUGCACUGAACAUAUAGCUUAUACUGGAGCUCUAGUUGGGAUUACUUUAGAAGUUGAUGAAUCGACCGUUCAUAAACCUGAAUAUGCUAGAAUCCUUCUCGGUUGUAGAGAGGUUGAGAAAAUUCCCCCUUCAGCUGAAGGAAUGCUGGGAGAACAGUAUUAUGAUUUUUUCUAUGAAGUUGAAAAAGUUGUGACUGUGGGUGCUGAGAAAAGUCAGUCCUAUACUGCUGUGGAUAGCAGUGCAUCUCCUUCCUUCCCCAAGAAAGCGAGGAUGGACUCAUAUCCUGCUUCUUCCAUGGGGCAGGGGGAGACGAAUACAUCCGUGACUGGUAAUUUUUCCUCUCAGAACUAUGGUAAGGGUAUGCAGAGGCUUCCGGCAGUGGCUGAGAGUGAAGAAGAAGAUGAGAGUGAGGAAGGUAACAACACAGAGCUUCUGAUUGAGACUAUGGCCAGAGAACAUGCGGCUGAAAAAAUGUCUUAUUGUGGAUCUCAAUCUGAUAAAAAAUCAUGUGAGAAUGUCUCUGAGGAUUUGAAAGUGGAAGAGAUGACUGAAUCUCCCAGUAAUGAGAUCAGUGUGCAUCAAGGUGCUUGGGGAAUGAUUACUCCUGUUCCACCCUCACCUCUGUUUAUGUGUCACGAUGUGAAUACUUAUGGGAAUGCUUUUCCUCCCUUGUCAGACUAUGUGGUUUGGCCCUCCCUGCCUCACAUUGUGCCUCUCGAAGAGGGUUUCAUGGAAGGAGGAGAAAACUGCAGUGUCUAUACAGUUGAAUCUCCCUCCAGAUGAUAUCCCUGUAGAAUUCUAUCAACACUGCUGGGAGGUAGUAGCCCAAGACCUUCUAUGCUUAUUUGAUUGGUUUCAUGAUGGCAAGCUAGAUGUACAACGACUUAACUAUGGCAUCAUAACCUUGUUGCCUAAGUCAACUGAUGCUAGUAGGAUCCAACAAUAUAGACCCAUUUGUCUAUUGCGCUGCCCCUACAAACUACUUACAAAAGCCAUGGAUAUUAGAGCUAGCAAAUAUGCACACAAGCUGUUUAGUAUUCACCAGAAUGCUUUUAUUAAGGGGAGACACAUAGUGGAUGGAAUCCUAUCUCUCCAUGAAAUUUUGCAUUAUACUCAUUUCAGAAGGCAGGUGGGAGUGGUUUUGAAACUUGACUUUGAAAAAGCAUAUGACAAAGUCAAUUGGGACUUUUUGCUUGACUGUCAUAGGAAACGUGGGUUUAAUUCUAAGUGGUGUGGGUGGGUCUCGCAAAUACUGAAGAAUGGCACAAUUAGUGUCAAGAUCAAUGAUGAAGUGGGACCUUACAUCUAAAGUGCUAAGGGGGUGAGGCAGGGGGAUCCUCACUCCCCUUUCCUGUUUAAUAUUGCGGCUGACUGUCUGACCAAAAUGGUACUUACAGCACAAAAAAAUGGCCUCAUUAAAGGUUUAGCUGCUGAUCUUAUUGAGAAUGGGGUUUGCAUCCUGCAAUACGCGGAUGACACAGUACUUUGUUUUGAGCAUGAUAUUGACAAAGCUGUGAAUAUCAAGCUCUUGCUUUAUCUCUUCGAACUUAUGUCUGGGCUUAAGAUCAAUUUUGAGAAGAGUGAAAUAUUUAGUAUCGGGGGGGAUAAUGAUACUGAUUUGGUGUAUGCCAACAUGUUUGGGUGUCAAGUGGGCACACUUCCCAUGAAAUAUCUGGGAGUCCCUGUUACUUAUUCUACCCUCAAGAAUGCGGAUCUAGAUUUCCUUGACGGAAAAAUGAUCAAAAAACUUGAUGCCUGGGUAGCAUAUGCAGCAUCUUCUGGAGCUAGACUAACGUUGCUAGGGUCCAGUUUGGAUGGA
rnacentral:lncRNA from 1 species